GAUGAACGCUGGCGGCGUGCCUAAUACAUGCAAGUCGAGCGAACGGACGCGAAGCUUGCGUCUCUGACGUUAGCGGCGGACGGGUGAGUAACGCGUGGAUAACCUACCUAUAAGACGGGGAUAACUUCGGGAAACCGGAGCUAAUACCGGAGAAUCUCUUGAACCGCAUGGUGCAAUAGUGAAAGACGGUCUUGCUGUCACUUAUAGAUGGAUCCGCGCUGCAUUAGCUAGUUGGUAAGGUAACGGCUUAUCAAGGCAACGAUGCAUAGCCGACCUGAGGGGGUGGUCGCCCACCCUGGAGCUGGGACACGGUCCAGACUCCUACGGGACGCAGCAGUAGGGAAUCUUCCGCAGUGGGCGAAAGCCUGACGGAGCAGCGCCGCGUGAGUGAUGAAGGUCUUCGGUUCGUGAAGCUCUGUUAUUAGUGAAGAACAUAUGUGUAAGUAGCUGUGCACAUCUUGACGGUACCUAGUCAGAAAGCCACGGCUAACUACGUG
rnacentral:rRNA from 1 species